CUGCAGGAGCCAACUACUGAAGCCGUGGGUCGUCGUGCGAGAGUGUUUAAGUGGGAUUUUUCGGCGGAAUUGGCCAUGUUGGAUGGCGAGCUAGAGCCUGAACUAGAGUCUGAAGCUUUAUGCCUGGAACCGAACCAACCGAGCCCCGGGCGGAGUCAAAAACGGGGGAUGUUUUGCCAAGGAAAUACACCCGACUCUCCGGCGACAGGAUAGAAAGGAGGAGACUCGUUGACCUUGGAAAAUGAAGAUGCGGUUGCCACGGCAACUGUUAAUCCCUCUGUCACUCAAAGGCUGACUGACUGGUGAACGCCGACUCUCGCCCGCCUUUCAUGAAAAUUUCUGGUAUGCAUAUUUCCCACGGUGAGGCUUUGCCUCUUUUCUCGAGCGUGCUAGGGUUUUAUUUGAUAUGGAAAUGUGCCAAUAUCCAA